GAUGAACGCUGGCGGCGUGCCUAAUACAUGCAAGUCGAGCGAACAGACGAGGAGCUUGCUCCUCUGACGUUAGCGGCGGACGGGUGAGUAACACGUGGAUAACCUACCUAUAAGACUGGGAUAACUUCGGGAAACCGGAGCUAAUACCGGAUAAUAUAUUGAACCGCAUGGUUCAAUAGUGAAAUACGGUUUUGCUGUCACUUAUAGAUGGAUCCGCGCCGCAUUAGCUAGUUGGUAAGGUAACGGCUUACCAAGGCAACGAUGCGUAGCCGACCUGAGAGGGUGAUCGGCCACACUGGAACUGAGACACGGUCCACACUCCUACGGGAGGCAGCAGUAGGGAAUCUUCCGCAAUGGGCGAGAGCCUGACGGAGCAACGCCGCGUGAGUGAUGAAGGUCUUCGGAUCGUAAAACUCUGUUAUUAGGGAAGAACAAAUGUGUAAGUAACUAUGCACGUCUUGACGGUACCUAAUCAGAAAGCCACGGCUAACUACGUG
rnacentral:rRNA from 1 species